rnacentral:rRNA from 1 species
UACGUAGGUGGCAAGCGUUGUCCGGAAUUAUUGGGCGUAAAGCGCGCGCAGGUGGUCGUUUUAAGUCUGAUGUGAAAGCCCCCGGCUCAACCGGGGAGGGUCAUUGGAAACUGAACGACUUGAGUACAGGAGAGAAGAGUGGAAUUCCACGUGUAGCGGUGAAAUGCGUAGAUAUGUGGAGGAACACCAGUGGCGAAGGCGGGUCUCUGGGCCUUACCUGACGCUGAGGAGCGAAAGCGUGGGGAGCGAACAGG